AGGUCGUAACAAGGUCUCCGUUGGUGAACCAGCGGAGGGAUCAUUACCGAGUUUUCAACUCCCAAACCCCCUGUGAACAUACCACAUCGUUGCCUCGGCGGGAUCGCCCCGGCGCCCCGCGCGCCGGAACCAGGCCCCCGCCGGAGGACCGUCAAACUCUUGUCUUUUCAGUGAAUUGUCUGAGUGGCCCUCGCGGCCGAAACAAAUGAAUCAAAACUUUCAACAACGGAUCUCUUGGCUCUGGCAUCGAUGAAGAACGCAGCGAAAUGCGAUAAGUAAUGUGAAUUGCAGAACUCAGUGAAUCAUCGAAUCUUUGAACGCACAUUGCGCCUGCCAGUAUUCUGGCAGGCAUGCCUGUCCGAGCGUCAUUUCAACCCUCAGGACCCUCCCUCGCGGGGGGUCCUGGUGCUGGGAUCAGCCUGAAGCCCAGCGCCCGGUGCACCCGGGCGCGCGGCCGGCUGGCCCUCAAACACAGUGGCGGUCUCGCUGCAGCCCCCUGCGUAGUAACGACAACCUCGCACCGGAGCUCGACGUGGCCACGCCGUAAAACCCCCAUAGUUUACCAAUGGUUGACCUCGGAUCAGGUAGGAAUACCCGCUGAACUUAA
rnacentral:rRNA from 1 species